GAUGAAGAACGUAGCGAAAUGCGAUAAGUAGUGUGAAUUGCAGAAUUCAGUGAAUCAUCGAAUCUUUGAACGCACAUUGCGCCCUUUGGUAUUCCUUAGGGCAUGCCUGUUCGAGCGUCAUUUAAACCUUCAAGCUAAGCUUGGUGUUGGGUGACUGUCCGCUUCACGGCGGACUCGCCUCAAAAUUAUUGGCGGCCGGUACAUUGGCUUCGAGCGCAGCAGAAACGCGAACUCGGGCCCGUCGUAUUGGCUCCCAGAAGCUAUCUUCACAAUUUUGACCUCGGAUCAGGUAGGGAUACCCGCCGAACUUUAGCAUAUCAAUAAGCGGAGGA
rnacentral:misc_RNA from 1 species